AAACAAAACAAAAACUUCUUAUUUUUCUCCUCUCUUUUCUAUAUAUUUAUUUGUACAACUUUUGACACUUGCAGUAGAUUUUCAAAGCACUGGCUAUUGUACGUCUUAUGGAGCUUAUCAAAUUCAUUAAUGUAUUGUCUUUAAAUGAUUAUCAAUCCUUGAACUUUGAAAUCAAUGAAACCUGACUCUAAAACAUUAAAAGAUAAUUUAUAAGAUGACAUGAGUUUAUAACAAGAUGAUUUGUGGAACUGUUUAAAUGUAAUCUUAUUUUCAAAGUAACCAGUGAUACAAAAUGAUAUCUGAUGGGAACAGUAGUGUGUCCGGUCACUUUCCUCUCAUCAUACAAACUGGCAGUGAUUCAUCAGCGUAUGUUUUGUUUUGUUAAUGUGUGAAACAUUGAUAUAUUUCUAUGUUAUUUAAUAAUAAUAAAACUUAUCAGUAUAUUACU
rnacentral:misc_RNA from 1 species